GGGGAUUUAGCUCAGUGGUAGAGCGUUUGCCUAGCAAGCACAAGGCCAAAAAGCACAAGGUCCCCA
rnacentral:tRNA from 1 species